CUUGCGCGGGAUUGCAACCCCCGCGAAGACUCUGGCGCCUCCUGCAGGCGUCCCGAUCGCAGGCUGCGUGGGAGGGGGUACUGCAGGGUCGGGUAUGCUGCUGGAGGCCGGUUUUGGGGGUGACUCAGGUGAGCCGCUCGCAGGCAAGCUUGACCGCUAGUCCACCGCAGCGUCCGCUUAGACAGCUUCGACCUCUUUACUUUUUUUUUUUUUUUUGGAGAUGGAGUCUCUCGCUCAGGCGCGCGCCACCACGCCCAGCUAAUUUUGUAUUUUUGGUAGAGACGGGGGUUCACCAUGUUGGCCAGGCUGGUCUCGAACUCCUGACCUCACCCGCACCCGGCCUCGUUUUCUUAAUCGAGGUAGACUUUAGGUACAGUAAAAAUCAGCCUUUUUAGGCCGGGCGCGGUGGCUCACGCCUUUAAACCCACCACUUUGGGAGGCCGAGGCGGGAUGAUCGCUUGAGCUCAGGAGUUGAGACCAGCCUGGCCAACAUGACAAAACCCCACCUCUACUAAAAUACAAAAAAUUAGCCGGGCAUGAUGGCGCGGCUGAGGCACGAGAAUUGAGAAAGGCGGAGGCUGCAGUGCGCCGAAAUCGUGCCACUGCAUUCCAGGCUGGGCGACAGAGCAGACGGUUUCCCCCCAAAAAUUAGCCUUUUUAGUGGCUAGUUUUAUGUUCUGACACCCAUACACAGUCAUGCAGUCACCACCACAUUCAAGAUUUGGAAGAGUUGCACUAUCCUGUUUGUAGUCAACAGGAUUAUUUUAAAGGUUCUAUCAUAUAAGUGAUUAUUUGCCUUAAAAGAAAGUUUAUCUCUAACAAAGGAAAGCAGUAUUUGAACAGAAAAUAGGAACCAAGCUUCCUAACCUUAACUUUCUGGGCAAGGGGUUAAACUCAAUGCCAACCUAUGUGGCUUCACAGAUCUGUAUCUUGUGUGAAGCUCCUCAAAAGGUUAAUUGCCUGGGGUUUCCAACAAUGAAGAUGGGGAUUAUUUAUUUUUGCUUUCUUUAGCUAAAGAGAAACAAAAACGAGGAAAGGCUGUGAGACAUUUCAGUCGCUAUUAGGAAGGUUAUUAUCCAGAGACCUGUGCAAUGGUAAAAAACAAAAUGGAAACCCUGGGACAGUUGGGGUCUUUCUAGAAAGAACUAGAGGCUGUAUCCCAACCCCCUGGGUAAAAGGAGAGCCAGGAUCCUUAUACAUAAAGAGAAGUUGUUCUCUAAGGGAAGAGGCAAGUUCCUGGCUAAGUCUGGGGUAUAAUUGCCUCCUGACAAAGAGCAGAGCUUCUGGCUACAAUUUGUUCUGGGGUCUGGAAAAAGCCGGUUUGAGUGAAACCUGAAUAGAUGGCAACUUUCCAAACUGCACACAAUGGAAGAAAAACCCUCCACGUCCCAGAUCACUUGCUCUGCUUCCCUGUAAUUCCUGUGCCUUUAUUUCAGAAGCUAGAAAGUCUGAUACAGCGUCUGCUUCGAAUAGUUUAGAAGGCAACAAGGACAGAUCGAGUACCAUGUUCUAGAACUGUCGGGAAGUGAACACACCCAGUAAGAUGAUGCCAUAUUUUGGUCCAUGUUAAUCUACAAAAAUAACCACAGAAACAGCUGUAAUCUACUGAAUGUUGCCAGCCAAAAUAAAUCUUUGCAGGGUAUUUUUCAAGUAUUGUACUUCCUAUACCUUUUCCAGAUUUCACCGUUAAGACCAAACCUUCCUCCCAAGACUUGACUUUCUGCAUUAUUUUUGGAAUGCAGUCUUUUUUUUUUUCCCCCAUUUUUAAGAGGGUCUUCAAAUCCUCAUCCUGUUUCGCAUUCUUACUGUUUCCAAUUCCUAGCCUGGCUCCCUGCCCUAUUAUAGUGGGGCUCUCCUGGCUUCCAGCCCAACAGUAUGGUUGCCUUAAAGGAUGGACUUUAGGCCAGGUGCGGUGGCACUUUGGGAGGCCGAGGUGGGUAGAUCACAAGGUCGGGAGUUCAAAACCAGCCUGGCCAAAAUGGUGAAACCCUGUCUCUAUUAAAAAUACAAAAAUUAGCUGGGCACAGUGGCGGGCACCUGUAAUCCCAGCUACUUGGGAGGCUGAGGCAGGAGAAUCGCUUGAAUCCGGGAGGCAGAGGUUGUAGUGAGCCGAGAUCACACCACUGCACUGGGCAUUAGAGCAAGACUCCGUCUCAAAAAAAAAAAAAAAAUGGACUUUAAAAAGUGACACAGAAAGCCGGCUCCAGUGGAUGGGUGGAUGGAGAGAAAGCUGCAGUCAAGAGUGAAUCAGAUGGGCUUUAAAAGAGCAUCAGACUUAAUUUUU
rnacentral:lncRNA from 1 species